UGAGACCCGAAAGAUGGUGAACUAUGCCUGGCCAGGAUGAAGUCAGGGGAAACCCUGAUAGAAGUCCGUAGCGAUUCUGACGUGCAAAUCGAUCGUCGUAUCUGGGUAUAGGGGCGAAAGACUAAUCGAACUAUCUAAUAGCUGGUUUCCUUCGAAGUUUCCCUCAGGAUAGCUGGCGCAUAAUAUAAUGCAAUCUCUCCCGGUAAAGCGAAUGAUUAGAGGUCUUGGGGCCGAAACGGCUUCAACCUAUUCUCAAACUUUAAAUGUGUGAGAAGUCUGGCUUGUUUAAGUAAAGUCUGGACUAUUAUAUAUAUAGAUGCUCAUGUGCCAAGUGGGCCAUUUUUGGUAAGCAGAACUGGCGCUGUGGGAUGAACCGAACGCCAAGUUAAGGCGCCCGAGAGUGACGCUCAUAAGACACCACAAAAGGUGUUGGUUGCUAUAGACAGCAG
rnacentral:rRNA from 1 species